AUCCUUUUGUAGUUCAUAAGCGUGAUGAUUGUGUUCAUGCUCUCGUGUGAGACGUGCCUCCCUCAAAACUUGUUACAACAUUGGCACAUUACCCGACUGAUG